CUGUAAUCAUGUGUCCUGGUCUUGGCUAGGGUAGAGUUAAUUUUUCUCCUAGUUGCUGGUAGGGUGCUGUGUUUGGGAUUUAGGAUGAGAAUAAUGUUGAUAACAUACUGUUUUAAUUGUUGCAGAGCAAUGCUUACACUAAGCCAAGGACUUUUCAGCUUCUCGCUCUGUCUUGCCAGUGGGCAGGCUGUGGGGGGGGACCGGCUGCUCGGGGAUAGGCUGGGCAUUGGUCAGCAGGUGGUGAGUAGUUGCACUGUGCAUCGCUUGUUUAUACACGUUAUUAUUAGUAAUACUAUUGGUUGUACUAUUAUUAUUAUUAUUUUCCUUUCUUUCCUGUCCUAAUAAACUGUCUUUAUCUCAA